UACGUAGGCAGCGAGCGUUGUUCGGAGUUACUGGGCGUAAAGGGUGUGUAGGCGGUUCUCUAAGUUUGGUGUGAAAUCUCCCGGCUCAACCGGGAGGGUGCGCCGAAAACUGGAGGGCUAGAGUGCGGGAAGGGAGAGUAGAAUUCCUGGUGUAGCGGUGAAAUGCGUAGAUAUCAGGAGGAAUACCGGUGGUGUAGACGGCUCUCUGGACCGCGACUGACGCUGAGACGCGAAAGCGUGGGUAGCAAACAGG
rnacentral:rRNA from 1 species